rnacentral:rRNA from 1 species
GACGAACGCUGGCGGCGUGCUUAACACAUGCAAGUCGAACGGAGAUAUCUGGAAGGUAACGGAAAGAUAUUUUAGUGGCGGACGGGUGAGUAACGCGUGAGCAACCUAUCCUAUACAGGGGGAUAACAUUGGGAAACCAGUGCUAAUACCGCGUAGGACCACGAGGCCUGAUGGUUUUGAGGUGAAAGGAGAAAUCCGGUAAAGGAGGGGCUCGCGUCCCAUUAGAUAGUUGGUGAGGUAACGGCUCACCAAGUCGGCGAUGGGUAGCCGGACUGAGAGGUUGAACGGCCACACUGGGACUGAGACACGGCCCAGACUCCUACGGGAGGCAGCAGUGGGGAAUAUUGGGCAAUGGGGGAAACCCUGACCCAGCAACGCCGCGUGAGAGAAGAAGGUUUUCGGAUUGUAAAUCUCUGUCCUAUGGGAAGAAAAAAAUGACGGUACCAUAGGAGGAAGCCCCGGCUAACUACGUGCCAGCAGCCGCGGUAAUACGUAGGGGGCGAGCGUUGUCCGGAAUUACUGGGCGUAAAGGGAGCGUAGGCGGCAUGGUAAGUUGUCUGUGAAAUACCCGGGCUUAACCCGGGAGGGUCAGAUAAAACUGCCAAGCUAGAGUGCAGGAGAGGAAAGCGGAAUUYCUGAUGUAGCGGUGAAAUGCGCAGAGAUCAGGAGGAACACCAGUGGCGAAGGCGGCUUUCUGGACUGCAACUGACGCUGAGGCUCGAGAGCGUAGGGAGCAAACAGGAUUAGAUACCCUGGUAGUCUACGCAGUAAACGAUGGAUACUAGGUGUAGGAGGUAUCGACCCCUUCUGUGCCGGAGCAAACGCAAUAAGUAUCCCGCCUGGGGAGUACGGCCGCAAGGUUGAAACUCAAAGGAAUUGACGGGGGCCCGCACAAGCAGCGGAGCAUGUGGUUUAAUUCGAAGCAACGCGAAGAACCUUACCAAGUCUUGACAUCUGCUAAAAACCAUAGAGAUAUGGUGUGUCUUCGGACGAAGCAAGACAGGUGGUGCAUGGUUGUCGUCAGCUCGUGUCGUGAGAUGUUGGGUUAAGUCCCGCAACGAGCGCAACCCUUACGGUUAGUUGCCAGCGAGUAAUGUCGGGAACUCUGGCCGGACUGCCGUGGAUAACACGGAGGAAGGUGGGGACGACGUCAAAUCAUCAUGCCCCUUAUGACCUGGGCUACACACGUGCUACAAUGGCCGUAACAAAGAGAAACGAAGCCGUAAGGCGGAGUAAAACUCAUAAAAGCGGUCCCAGUUCGGAUUGUGGGCUGCAACCCGCCCACAUGAAGCCGGAGUUGCUAGUAAUCGCGAAUCAGCAUGUCGCGGUGAAUGCGUUCCCGGGCCUUGUACACACCGCCCGUCAAACCAUGGGAGUUGGGAGCACCCGAAGUCGGUGAUGAGCUGCCGAAGGUGAGACCAGCGACUGGGGUU